AUAAUUAUAUAAAGAAACCUGUGGGCCGUUUCUUUAGCUGAUUUAGUAAAUUAUUCCCUUACUGAGCAAUGUUUAAAUUGUAAACUGGCGAGAUCUGGUUGGGACGGCACCUAGACGCUGAGUACGAUCUGACCAUAAAAACAAUCAGAGAAAAGUGACACGAGAAGGGAGAGAACCCGGGAUAAACUAUGCAUCCCGUGCGAUCUCCCCCAAGAACACAACCAUCAAAAUUUUAUUAAG
rnacentral:misc_RNA from 1 species